GACGAACGCUGGCGGCGUGCCUAAUACAUGCAAGUUGAGCGCUGAAGGUUGGUACUUGUACCAACUGGAUGAGCAGCGAACGGGUGAGUAACGCGUGGGGAAUCUGCCUUUGAGCGGGGGACAACAUUUGGAAACGAAUGCUAAUACCGCAUAAAAACUUUAAACACAAGUUUUAAGUUUGAAAGAUGCAAUUGCAUCACUCAAAGAUGAUCCCGCGUUGUAUUAGCUAGUUGGUGAGGUAAAGGCUCACCAAGGCGAUGAUACAUAGCCGACCUGAGAGGGGGACGGGCCUCCUUGGGAAGGAGACGCAGGCCAAACUCCUGCGGGUAGCGGCAGUGGGGAAUCUUCGGCAAAGGACGAAAGUCUAGCCGGGCAACGCCGAGGGAGUGAGGUAGAUUUUCGGAUCGUAAAACUCUGUUGGUAGCGAAGACCGUUGGAGGGAGUGGAGAGCUCAUCAAGUGAGGGUAACUACCCAGAAAAGGACGGCUAACUACGUG
rnacentral:rRNA from 1 species